rnacentral:rRNA from 1 species
GAUGAACGCUGGCGGCGUGCCUAAUACAUGCAAGUCGAGCGAACGGACGAGAAACUUGCUUCUCUGAUGUUAGCGGCGGACGGGUGAGUAACACGUGGAUAACCUACCUAUAAGACUGGGAUAACUUCGGGAAACCGUAGCUAAUACCAGAUAAUAUUUUGAACCGAAUGGUUCAAAAGUGAAAGACGGUCUUGCUGUCACUUAUGGAUGGAUCCGCGCUGCAUUAGCUAGUUGGUAAGGUAACGGCUUACCAAGGCAACGAUGCAUAGCGGACCUGAGAGGGGGAUAGGCCACCCUGGGACUGAGACACGGUCCAGACUACUACGGGAGGCAGCAGUAGGGAAUCUUCCGCAAUGGGCGAAAGCCUGACGGAGCAACGCCGCGUGAGUGAUGAAGGUCUUCGGAUCGUAAUACUCUGUUAUUAGGGAAGAACAUAUGUGUAAGUAACUGUGCACAUCUUGACGGUACCUAAUCAGAAAGCCACGGCUAACUCCGUG